AGACUUGGUCGUAGAGCCACGACCAACAAAAGGUUCCUAGGGGAAACUUUAAUCUAAAGAACGCUCACCAAGA
rnacentral:ncRNA from 1 species